rnacentral:lncRNA from 1 species
AAGACAUUCCUCAGCUGCUUCAGCAAAAGCUUUGGUCAGGUCAGCUUCAGAACCACGGGAAGCAAUAACACCAGGAGGAGUGGCUGGAACAGAUGUUAUCUGGGUCCAAUGGAAUCAAGGGGCAGAGCCAGGUUCGAAGUGGAUGCCGUGGCUGAACAUCACGGCUCACUCAGCCGCCCAACAGAGACCAUCUGGAUCGGGUUCUGUUCGUCCACCUGAGACUGCCAUUCACAAGAUGGAUCUUGCAGACUUCAGCACAUCUACAGCAUCGGGAACACCAAACGAUGAUGGCCAGAAGGUCGAUAUGUGCCCUCUGAGGAAACACCUUCAAGCAGAACCUCACUUUCUGAUCUUCCUGAAGUCUCAGAAUCCAGAUUACGCACCAUCCCUAUGCGGAAUCAGGACAACCUCCCUCUGAGAAUUCAGAGCCUGCAGGAUGCUUAGUAGGACAUGCCUGGAAUUACACAGAUUAUGCCUCCUUGCAUGGGAGAAGUAGAAAAGUCACAGCAUGGGUUAAAAAUACGCUUGUCUUCUCUCAAUAAUUAAUUGUUUAGGGAUUAACAUGAGGUUUUGUGUUUUGAAAGUAAACUAAUCCACUCGUUGGCUGGUGUGUAAUGAAGGAGAACAGGCUACUGUCAAGCAGGCUGAAAACAGUGAAAAUUAACUACAAGUGCCACGACUCACAUAUUUUAUGUAUAUGAGUAAUGUAUUCUCUGUGGGACAGAAGAUGAAAAUAUCACACAGAAAAGAAAAACACAGUGGCUACAAAUUUAAUAAAACAAGCAGUCAUACUUAGCCUCGCAGUAUAGUCUGGCAUUUUUACUGCCUGAUGGUAUCAAGGUUGGGCCAGUGCAAGAGAAUUCAUGCUCGUGAACUCACAAGAAGCACAGACUUCACUUUCUGCAGCCUCUCUGCUUGCAGAGCUAGCAAAAGGGAAGGAAAAUACAACUAAAACCAAG